AUCAAAUGUCAUAAAAUGGACACAGAUUUAUUUCAGAACUAAGUUAUAUGAGGCCUGCACUUAAAUAUUUAUCUUUGUAAUUAAUAAUGAAAAACUAGCAUCUAUAUUAAUCUCUUCAUCAAUUGAAUCGCAUACAUUAUUUUAAAGGUUUCAGAUUUUUGUCUUGUCUGUGUAUUUAUAGCAAAAGAAGAUUUCACUGAAGCAGGAAACCAUCUAAAAGGAUAUGUUAUCACUGGAAUUUAUUCUGAAGAAGAUGUUUUGAUAUUGUCAAAUAAAUAUGCUGCAACUCUUCCAGCCCUGCUGCUUGCCAGACAUGAAGAAGGCAAGAUAGAGAGCAUUCUACUAGCUAGCACUCAUGCGCAAGACAUAGUUCAAAUAAUAACAAAUGCAUUAUUGGGAACAUUUCCAGAAAUCACUGUGGAAAAUCUUCCUACUUAUUUAAGACUUCAGAAACCAUUAUUGAUUUUGUUCAGUGAUGGCAGCAUGAAU